GGCUAGUCCAAGUGCAGUGGUGUUUAUAACUAAUUGAUCACAACCAGUUUCAGAUUUCUUUGUUUCUUCUUCACUCCCACUGUUUCACUUGACUAGUCUUUU
rnacentral:Y_RNA from 1 species